GAUGAACGCUGGCGGCGUGCCUAAUACAUGCAAGUCGAGCGAACAGAUAAGGAGCUUGCUCCUUUGACGUUAGCGGCGGACGGGUGAGUAACACGUGGAUAACCUACCUAUAAGACUGGGAUAACUUCGGGAAACCGGAGCUAAUACUGGAUAACAUAUUGAACCGCAUGGUUCAAUAGUGAAAGGCGGCUUUGCUGUCACUUAUAGAUGGAUCCGCGCCGUAUUAGCUAGUUGGUAAGGUAACGGCUUACCAAGGCAACGAUACGUAGCCGACCUGAGAGGGUGAUCGGCCACACUGGAACUGAGACACGGUCCAGACUCCUACGGGAGGCAGCAGUAGGGAAUCUUCCGCAAUGGGCGAAAGCCUGACGGAGCAACGCCGCGUGAGUGAUGAAGGUCUUCGGAUCGUAAAACUCUGUUAUCAGGGAAGAACAAAUGUGUAAGUAACUGUGCACAUCUUGACGGUACCUGAUCAGAAAGCCACGGCUAACUACGUGCCAGCAGCCGCAGUAAUACGUAGGUGGCAAGCGUUAUCCGGAAUUAUUGGGCGUAAAGCGCGCGUAGGGCGGUUUUUUAAGUCUGAUGUGAAAGCCCACGGCUCAACCGUGGAGGGUCAUUGGAAACUGGAAAACUUGAGUGCAGAAGAGGAAAGUGGAAUUCCAUGUGUAGCGGUGAAAUGCGCAGAGAUAUGGAGGAACACCAGUGGCGAAGGCGACUUUCUGGUCUGUAACUGACGCUGAUGUGCGAAAGCGUGGGGAUCAAACAAGAUUAGAUACCCUGGUAGUCCACGCCGUAAACGAUGAGUGCUAAGUGUUAGGGGGUUUCCGCCCCUUAGUGCUGCAGCUAACGCAUUAAGCACUCCGCCUGGGGAGUACGACCGCAAGGUUGAAACUCAAAGGAAUUGACGGGGACCCGCACAAGCGGUGGAGCAUGUGGUUUAAUUCGAAGCAACGCGAAGAACCUUACCAAAUCUUGACAUCCUCUGACCGCUCUAGAGAUAGAGUUUUCCCCUUCGGGGGACAAAGUGACAGGUGGUGCAUGGUUGUCGUCAGCUCGUGUCGUGAGAUGUUGGGUUAAGUCCCGCAACGAGCGCAACCCUUAAGCUUAGUUGCCAUCAUUAAGUUGGGCACUCUAAGUUGACUGCCGGUGACAAACCGGAGGAAGGUGGGGAUGACGUCAAAUCAUCAUGCCCCUUAUGAUUUGGGCUACACACGUGCUACAAUGGACAAUACAAAGGGCAGCUAAACCGCGAGGUCAAGCAAAUCCCAUAAAGUUGUUCUCAGUUCGGAUUGUAGUCUGCAACUCGACUACAUGAAGCUGGAAUCGCUAGUAAUCGUAGAUCAGCAUGCUACGGUGAAUACGUUCCCGGGUCU
rnacentral:rRNA from 1 species